AUGAGGCGGGUGGCGCCCGCGACCGUCGCUUCUGCCCAUGAAGGUGUCCACCAAGGCCACGACGGAGUCGGAGAUGCCCACUCCUUGCCCAGCGCGCCGCACGGCUGCGCCUGCCCCUGCCGCCGCGGCAAGGCCACCGACCACCACGCCGUCGGCGGCAAUGCCGGGGGCAACGUCAGCCGCUCGCCGGAGGCCAAAGCCCCCGCCUUGCCGCGGAUCUGCAUCUGGGACUCCGCCGGCGACGGCCACGUCCUCGAGGCCUCCGUCUCCGUGGCGUGGCCGGACGAGGCUGCCACCCCGCGCACCAAUCCGGCGCCGCCGCCGCCGCCGCAACGGUGGAGGCGCCCCGGGAAGACCAUCUCCAAGGGGCACAGGAACUACCACCUCAUGCUCAACCUGCAGCUCGGCAUCAGGCAUGUCCAUACUUUCUUUCUUUCCUUUUGUCGGUCCCUGAUUCUCCAUUGCAGACCUCAUAAGAUAUACUGCCAAUGGUGGCUACAGUUUUGUUGGCAAUGGGCUGUGACCAUUCUUGUGUGCAGGCACGCGGUGGGGAAGUCGGCGGCGAAGCCGAUGCGGGAGCUCAGCCGGGCGGACUUUGAUCCCCGGGAGAAGUUCUGGACGCGGUUCCCGCCGGCGGGCUCCAAGACGACGACGCCGCAUUCCUCCUCCGAGUUCCGGUGGAAGGACUACUGCCCCAUGGUCUUCAGGCACAUGAGGAAGCUGUUCGCCGUCGACCCGGCGGAUUACAUGCUUGCCAUCUGCGGGGACGCCGCCCUGCGGGAGCUGUCGUCGCCGGGGAAGAGCGGGAGCUUCUUCUACCUCACGCAGGACGAGCGCUUCAUGAUCAAGACUGUCAAGAAAUCCGAAGUCAAGUUGUUAAUUCGGAUGUUGCCGAGCUACCACAAACACGUUAAACGGUACAACAACUCCCUCAUCACAAGGUUCUAUGGCGUUCACUCUGUGAAGCCAUAUGGUGGGCAGAAGGUGCGGUUCAUCGUCAUGGGCAAUCUGUUCUGCUCGGAGCACCGGAUCCAUCGCCGUUACGAUCUGAAAGGCUCCUCCUACGGUCGGAAAUCCGACAGGUUUGAAGAAGAGACCAGCGAUGCAACCACGCUCAAGGACCUGGACCUCAACUUUGCGUUCCGGAUGCAGCGCUCUCUGUAUAAAGAUCUUCACGAGCAACUUAGGCGAGAUUGCGCGUUCUUGGAAUCGGAGGGCAUCAUGGAUUACAGUCUAUUGGUUGGAGUUCACUUUUGUGAUGAUAUUACCCCUGCAUCAAAUAUGGCAUUAUCUACUUUUACUUCUUCUCCUGAGCUUUCAGCCAACACGCUGUCGGCAUGCCGAGUCAGCGUCAGCAUGCCUGAGCCGUGCCUCUCAGCUAAAGAUUUGGACAAGAUGUCCGAUCACUGGAACUUCAGGAAACCAUUGGCCAGACUGGGCGCGCACCUGCCAGCUCGAGCGGAGCGCACAUCCAUGAGCGACAUCAACCCGUUCCUCUCUGGCGGCGGGGGAUUCUCAUCGGGCCGGAGCAAGAGCUGGGGGGAAGCCUACGACGUCAUCCUCUACUUUGGGAUAAUCGACAUCCUCCGGGACUAUGACAUCAGCAAGAGGCUGGAGCACGCGUACAAGUCGCUGCAGACGGACCCCAGCUCGAUCUCCGCGGUUGACCCGAGGCUGUACUCGCAGAGGUUCCGGGAUUUCAUGGGCAGGAUAUUCAUCAAGGAGUGCUAG
rnacentral:rRNA from 1 species